UUGUGUUUGAGGUCCGAGAAGUUCGAGUUCGUAUUUCAGAAAAAAGUCUGAGUGAGUUGCUUCAUCUUCCCUAUGAGGGUGCCACACCAAAAAAACCAGAGCAUAAGAUGAGAGUCCUACAGCUGGUUUUAGAGAGAGAUGACUUUGAUUAUUUAGAAAAUUUAGUAGCUAGCUCCCUAUCAGCUGAGAUGAGGUUCUUGCAUAACUUCAUAGGUCGGAUACUGUUUCCGAAAAGUGGAAGAUUUGAUCAUGUAUCUAAGCGUGCGAUUUGGCCAUUAUGGAGCAUGUCAUUCAGGGUAUACCCCUGAAUCUUCCAGCCAUGAUCAUUAGGCAGAUGCGUGAGGCCAUAUGCAGAUUGAGAGCAUCCUUGCCCUAUGGUAUGGUACUCACCUUAAUUUUCAAUCAUAAUGACAUAUCUGUAGAGGGAGAGAUAUCCAGAGAUUUGUUAUUUACCGACACCUACACUUCACGAUCCCUAGUGCGCAUGGGUUAUGAGAAGGUGGACGGUCAGUGGGUGCGUGGAGGUGUAGGGGCACAUGCACCGGAGGCUGAUGCACCAGAGCUUGGAGACUCUAUCCCUCAGCCUGAGAUACCUGCGAAUCACCCUACAGCACAUUCAGAGGCAGGACCUUCAUCAUCCACACCUGCGGGAUGUACAGAAGAAUACUGGAGUAGGAUGACUGAGCUUGUGUCAGCUCAGGUGAGGAUUCUCUAUAAUAGCAUGAUGAGCAGAAUGGACAGUAUGAUACUGAGAUUAGAGGAUUAUCUGCUCAGCUGACAGGCCUCACAGACCGGAUGACAGCAUUAGAGAGAGAGGUUCAUGGUCCAUAUGUGCCCCGAGCAGCUGAGUCAGAGGUUUCGGCACAGAGUCACCCAGUUCACAGAGCCCCACGACAGACUCAGUCUCAUCAGGCCAGACCUUCCCUCGCCACUUAUGCUAGGAGGAUGAGGACUAGAUCACAGCCACUAGACUCCCCCUAGGCCCGAUGAUAGCACUACAGGAGCACAUCAUGAUUAGUGCCUAGGAUCUAUCUAGUAUUCAUAUGCAUUUUAUCUUGUUGAUGUAUUUUGCAUCUAAUUUGAUAAACAUUGUACUUUUGACAUCCAUGUACUACAAUAUUUCAUUUUGAUCAAUGGUAUUUAGAUUUUAUCAUUUAUUGCUAUACAUUUUGAUGAUAACAAAAAGGGGAAGAAGUAAGAAAAGAGAGAAGUUGCAAUAUAGGGGAGCAAUGUAGAAAUAAAUAGGAAGAAAAUAUAUUCACUUAAGGGGGAGAUAUGUGCAACAAUGAAAAUUUUCUACACCUUCAAAUUUCAAAACAAGAAAAUCUGAAUUUUUAAGCAAAAUUUCUGAAUUUGGCACAUACACCUCAUGCCUCGAUACAUAACUUGAAAAUCCUGUUUUAUCUCAAACUCUUGAAGUUCCAUCUUUCUUAAAAUACAAGUGUAAUGGGGAGAAAAUCAAAUGUUCAAAUUGGCAAUAUUUGGAUGAAGGAGGGGGAGCUUUCACUUUCAUAUUUAGAAAAGCUGAAAUUCAGCGACUUAAGUUUUUUCCAAAUCAAAACCCUUAAUUUUGAUACAAGAGUCAAUUUGCCAAUACUCAAUGUUUUGUAAUCAUCAAAAAGAAGGAGAUUGAGAAUAAUAGUGUUAUUUCGAUGAUUAACACAACAAUUGAGGGAAUAUCAAAUUAAUAAUAUAGCUUAACUUGAUACACCACUAAUGAAUACCACACUCCUGAUACAUUGAAAGAAUGAGAUUAAGACGACUCCCAAUGAUUAACAACGAGAUAAAAAUGUUAGAGAGCUUUUAAAUCUAAUUCGGCAAAGUUUCAAGUGAAAUAUAUUUUUAAGGGCAAAACAGUAAUUUUCAUUGUUAAGGGUAUGAAGUUCUACCGUGGCAUACACUCAAAAUUAUUUGAAAUAUAUUCCAUUGAUUGUAUGAAUCAGUCUAACCUUAAGAUGUAGAAAAUUGUGAGUUGAGUCGACCCGAGAAGAAGUAGAGUUGACUUUGGCACAUUUUGGAACCAUCUGGCACAUCCUUGAAAAAAUGGCUCAGAUGAACAACAAGUGGAGCCCACCCCCAAUGGAGCCGACCCUAGUGGAGCCAACCCCAGGAUAAGUGUUCAAAAAUCAUGUCUCUGGAAUCUCUGAGAAGGUCGACCCCAAUGGAACUUGAGUCGACCCCACUGUAGCACGGGUCGACCCCAAGAAAGUAUGAGUCGACCCUAGUGAAAAUGCCAAAAAAAAUAAAAUUUCUGUGGUUUCUGAGAAGGCCGACCCCACUGUAGUAGGGGUCGACCCCAAAGAAGCUUGAGUCGACCCCUGAGAAGGUUGAGUCGACCCCAAGGCUGAUGAACAGUAACUUGAGUCGACCCCAGCAGGGAAAGGAGCAUAACGGCUAGUUCUGUAGAAGUACUUUUUAAGCUUCCAACGGCUAGAAAUGGCUAGUAUUUCAAAUCUAAUGAAUGGAAAGUGACCAAUAGAGGUUGAGAGAUAUUUAAGAGACACUAUUCAUCAGAGGAAAAUAUCCUUUUGCAAGAAAUCAAUAGAGCAUUCAAGUUAAAGCAAGCCCUAGCAUUCUUCAUCAAGUUGCUUCAUUCAAAUCCCAAAAGAAGGUGGUUGAGCAAUCUGAAAGCGCAUUCAACAGCUUCACCAACCCAUUGUGAAGUGAAGUAACCUGAGCAAAGAAGAGAAGAGCAUCCCAAAGCGAUAACUAUCUCUCAUCUCUUCUUUGAGUUCAUAUUUAUUAUAUUUGCUCAUUUAGGAGCUUCAAACUUCUUUUCUUUUUAAAUCUCUUGUAAGAUUGGUUGGUGAGCUCGUAAAACCAAUGGUGUAGGUUGUUGGUGAGCCCGCAAAACUAACAUAGAUUUUUGGUGAUCUCGGAAAAUCAAAGUGUAAAGGUUUUUAGAUUGUGAGCCCGAAAAACAAUCCAACUGUAAUCCACGGGAUUAUAGUGAAUUUCCAAAGGGACGCUUGAGGAGUGGAUGUAGGUGCUUAGAAGAGCACCGAACCACUAUAUUUCUUGUGUGUUUGCCUUGAGUGUCUUACUAACUUCACUACACGCACUUAAUUAGUAUUAACUAAAUUACCCAUUCAUCUAUCAAAUUGAUUAAGGGAUUAAAAAUUUAGGAAACCCAAUUCACCCCCCCUCUUGGCUUGUCGACCAUAAUCUUAUCAAAUUUGCGAUACUAUUAUCUUGGAGACUGCUUGAGACCAUAUAAUGAUCUCUUGAGCAAACAUAUAUGAUCUUCCUUGUCUGGAACCUCAAAACCAGGUGGGUGUUGCAUAUAAAUCUGUUCCUUUAAAUCACCGUGAAAAAAAGCUGUUUUAACAUCUAGCUGUUCCGGCUCUAAAUUCUGAGAAACAACUAAAGCAAGCAACACACGGAUAGAAGAGUGUUUGACUACAUGAGAAAAUAUCUCCUUGUAGUCAAUUUCCUACUGUUGACUAUAGCCCUUAGCUACCAACCUGGCCUUUUAUCUAAAAUCCUGAGGACUGACUCCCUCCUUUUUCUUGAAGAUCUAUUUGCAGCCAAUUACCUUAUUGUCCUCUGGUAAUCUGACUAAUUUCCAAGUCUGAUUCUUCUCUAAAGAUUGUAGUUCUUCAACCAUAGCCACGGUCUAUUGUUCAGCCUGUGAACUAUUAAUAGCCUCCUGAUAUGUGGUCGGCUCAUCACCAAUAAUGUCUGCAAUGCUCAGAGCAUAAUAAACUAACCCAGCACAAGCUGAAUCCUCAAAGCCAUACCUUUGUGGUGUUCUGAUCUGACGCCUAGGUCUACGAGUGGCAAUGCUAUCAAUCUGAUCCUGACCUUGCAUGGUAACCUCCUCCUGAGUCUGUAUCUCUGCAUCUGUCAGGUGUUGCUGAAAAUUUAGAAUAAAAGUAUCUUCAUUUGCCUGCUGCUGCUGUGAUCUGAUAGUUUGGUCAAUAUUCAUAACAGUCCUAUCCAUCUGAUUCUGAUCCUGAUCUCUCUGAGAAGAACUAGGAUGUAGCUGCCUUAAAGAAGUGGCUAUCUCAUGAAAUGUCAUAUCCCUACUGAAUAAAAAUUCUUGGGAUCCAGGCUCUGUGCACCAUAGUCUGUAGCUUUUUACCCUAUAUGCGUAUCCAAGAAAUACGCACUUCUUAGCCUUGGGGUCCAAAGACUCUGAGUACUAAAUAGUCUGCAGGUCUUCCUGUCCACAUCUCUUCCGGAGAUUUCAUGCCCAAUGCUGAUGCUGGAGAUCGGUUUAUAAUGUAGCAGGCUGUAUGAGCGGCCUCUGCCCAAAAAUCUCUAGUUAAUCCAGAACUAGAUAGCAUAGAUCUGACUCUCUCAAUUAGUGUGCGGUUCAUGCGUUCUGCCACACCAUUCUGUUGAGGUGUACCGACUGUGGUUCUGUGUCUAACAAUGCCCAAUGAUUUGCAAAAGUCAUCAAACUCAGUUGAACCAAAUUCUAAUCCAUUGUCAGUUCGGAAGGUUUUCAACUUUCUAUCAGUAUGCCUCUCGACCAUAGCCUUCCACCUCUUGAAUGUGUCAUAACACAUCACUCUUAUUUCUGAUAGUAUAUAUCCAGAAUUUGCGGGAGUAGUCAUCAAUAAAAGUGAGUAAAUACCUAGAUCCACCCUUGGAUGUAAUUGGGGCAGGCCCCCAUAGGUCAAAAUGAAUAUAAUCUAAUAUACCAGCUGUCAUGUGCACGCCUGUAGAAAAGCUGACCCUGUGUUGUUUUCCGAACACACAAUGCUCACAGAAUCCAAGUGCACCAACCUUCUGACCACUUAGCAAACCACGUCUGCUCA
rnacentral:lncRNA from 1 species